AUGUCCAGCCGCCCCUCCUCUCCUCACACAGAGCGGCGCAGCUCCAACCUUGAAGAUCGACCGGCAGGGAGGACGGCGGCAGACGGCCGCGCGACGCGACCACAUCCAGGCGGCGGGCAGGAACCACCGGCAAGCUGGAGCAUCUACCGUCGACCAGCUAGCCACCAAGCCCCAGCGGCAUCCAUCUGCCGCAAGUCUCUUCAGAUGGAUGAUCAAGGCAGGAUGAUAGACUUUGGUAUUCAAGGCCAUGAGUUCAGUCAAAGGACUACAAUACCUUGUCCAAAUAUUGGUCACCGUCAGGACAAUGGACUUGAUGACCUGGAGUUUACUCAAGGAGCUACAGGACACCAAACAAAUAUUGGUCAGGACAAUGGACUUGAUGACUUGGAGUUCAGUCAAAGGAUCAUAGGACGCCGUCCUAAUUUUGGUACGCUGCAGCGUUGUGAUGACCUCGACUUUGACCAAAGGAGUGCAAGGCAGCAUGAGGAUAGUGGUACAAAAUCUCUUAAUCUCAGUCUUGUUAAUGUGGUGAAUUACUGA
rnacentral:rRNA from 1 species